UUUCAGUAUUCGUAAGAAAUAAUAUUUUAUUCCAUACUUUGUAGUAUAUGAGUAAUAUUAUUUCGUUUCGUAUUCCUAAUUCUACACUCAUUAUGUUAAAGUAUUGCUUCUAUACUCCGUGAAAUUAGUAGAAUAUCCUUGAAAUUUGCGCUUUAUCUAGUAUCGUUUCACAAAGAUAUUUUUCUAACCAUUCAUGUUAAAUUUUAAGCUUUUUAUGCCGGAGUACUGUUCACGAAAUACUAUUCACAAAAUACUAUUCACGGGAUACUAUUCACAAAGUAUUAUUUACGGGGUACUAUUCAUAAAUACUAUUCACGGGGUAUUAUUCUCGGAGUACUUUUUUUGAAGUACUAUUCUCGGGU
rnacentral:lncRNA from 1 species